CUGCUCCUUGUUCGAACAUAUUAAAAAUAUAACCAAAGUAUCAAUUGAGGAGUAUUGUAUGUACUCCUCAAACAAUCUUUUGGUGUCGUUGUUUUUUAGAUUAUGAAAAAUAGUUCUUUCAGUGAAUAGGUAUGUAGUAAGUACGAUCUUCCUUGAUGGCCAAACAUGGUCUCAUUUGGUCAACUUCCAUCAGAUUUCGGAGUCUAUUAUUACACUUUACCUUAAUUUCUGCUUGCUCGUGUAUUACUUUGUGGAGAAUAAUGGAGCUACGAAGUUCCACGUUACUAAUUACGACGUAUUUAAGAACGUUUGGAUUUACUUGGAGCUUAACUGAGGGACUCGAUCUAUUUUUAAUUUCACUGGAAUCCCUAUUUCAGAAAAUAUAUUUAUUAGUCAAUGUUGCAAUCACUAAUUUCGAAGGUGGAACUCAUAUAAAUAUUCAACGCUAGUAUAUUCAAUUGAUGUAAACUGUGCAAUCCCUCAAGAACAUGAGCUUAUUUACCUCCGGAAUUACUAACCUAUUAUAACGACUCUAAAACAUUUUCAUUACUUUCACAAAUGUUUUCAACUGUAUUGACUGUAUUGCUAUAUAGCUUAAUUUUAGAUGUAUCCAGUCUGGAUAUUUCUUCGAUGAAUGGAUCUACUAAUAUUCUUCAUCUAUUGAUUGUGUAGCUCUAAUAACAGCUACUUUAAUUAAUUAUCCACCAUGAUUGUCAAUGGUUAUAUUUUACUCCCAAUCUACUUUGUAAUGAUACAUUGCCGAACUCUAUAGCUGUUCAGGACUAAGGGAGCCGCUUUGAAUCAAUUUCCAUCUCUCCUUAUGCUUCUGACGUAACACAUAUCUCAACACAUUGAUUAUAUGCGCUCAUUUCUAGUUUGAUAGACUCCCUUGGAUCAAGGGGUGUUAAUAUUGAUGAUCGAGUCAAAACAUUUUCUUAAUUGCUUAGGAAUGAUUUUUGGAGUCCAAACAUGAAACUAUUUCCCAUGAA
rnacentral:lncRNA from 1 species